rnacentral:rRNA from 1 species
UACAGAGGGGGCAAGCGUUGUCCGGAUUACUGGGCGUACAGCGCGCGCAGGCGGUUGCGUAUGUGAGCGGUGACAUCCGCGGGCUCAACCCGCGGCGGCCCGCUUACACAGCGCGACUGGAGGCAGGGAGAGGGAUGUGGAAUACCCGGUGGAGCGGUGAAAUGCGUAGAGAUCGGGUGGAACACCAGCGGCGAAGGCGGCAUCCUGGCCCUGUACUGACGCUGAGGCGCGAUAGCGUGGGGAGCAAACGGG